rnacentral:rRNA from 1 species
GCUCUGGACUCUGGGAUAAGCCUGGGAAACUGGGUCUAAUACCGGAUAUUCACUUUCUCUCGCAUGGGGGUUGGUGGAAAGCUUUUGCGGUUCAGGAUGGGCCCGCGGCCUAUCAGCUUGUUGGUGGGGUAAUGGCCUACCAAGGCGACGACGGGUAGCCGACCUGAGAGGGUGAUCGGCCACACUGGGACUGAGACACGGCCCAUACUCCUACGGGAGGCAGCAGUGGGGAAUAUUGCACAAUGGGCGCAAGCCUGAUGCAGCGACGCCGCGUGAGGGAUGACGGCCUUCGGGUUGUAAACCUCUUUCACCAGGGACGAAGCGUGAGUGACGGUACCUGGAGAAGAAGCACCGGCCAACUACGUGCCAGCAGCCGCGGUAAUACGUAGGGUGCGAGCGUUGUCCGGAAUUACUGGGCGUAAAGAGCUCGUAGGCGGUUUGUCGCGUCGUCUGUGGAAUUCUGCAACUCAAUUGUAGGCGUGCAGGCGAUACGGGCAGACUUGAGUACUACAGGGGAGACUGGAAUUCCUGGUGUAGCGGUGAAAUGCGCAGAUAUCAGGAGGAACACCGGUGGCGAAGGCGGGUCUCUGGGUAGUAACUGACGCUGAGGAGCGAAAGCGUGGGGAGCGAACAGGAUUAGAUACCCUGGUAGUCCACGCCGUAAACGGUGGGUACUAGGUGUGGGACUCUUUUCACGGGUUCCGUGCCGUAGCUAACGCAUUAAGUACCCCGCCUGGGGAGUACGGCCGCAAGGCUAAAACUCAAAGGAAUUGACGGGGGCCCGCACAAGCGGCGGAGCAUGUGGAUUAAUUCGAUGCAACGCGAAGAACCUUACCUGGGUUUGACAUCUACCGGACCGCUCCAGAGAUGGGGCUUCCCUUGUGGCUGGUAGACAGGUGCAUGCU